AUCGAACGCUGGCGGCAGGCCUAACACAUGCAAGUCGAACGAGUGGCGGACGGGUGAGUAAUGUCUGGGAAACUGCCUGAUGGAGGGGGAUAACUAAUGGAAAAGGUAGCUAAUACCGCAUACCAUCGGAUGUGCCCAGAGGGGAUUAGCUAGUGGGUGGGUGAAAGGCUCACAUAGGCGACGAUCCCUAGCAGGGCUGAGAGGAUGACCGGCCACACUGGAACUGAGACACGGUCCAGACUCCGACGGGAGGCAGCAGGAGGGAAUAUUGGACAAUGGGCGCAAGCCUGAUGCAGCCAUGCCGCGUGUGUGAAGAAGGCCUUCGGGUUGUAAAGUACUUUCAGCGGAGAGGCGUUACCCGCAGAAGAAGCACCGGCUAACUCCGUGCCAGCAGCCGCGGUAAUAC
rnacentral:rRNA from 1 species